rnacentral:ncRNA from 1 species
AUUUGAAAAAGGCAAAUCUGUCGAAAGGUGGAGACGCAAAGGUACGGGUCUAAGGGAGACUAUGAUGGCUGGCCUACCAAA